CCCUUAGAUGCUCUGGGCCGCACGCGCGCUACACUGGUCGAUGCAACGAGUUUCUUUCCUUGGCCGACAGGCCUGGGCAAUCUUUGAACAUCGAUCGUGAUCGGGAUAGAUUCUUGUAAUUUCUGAUCUUAAACGAGGAAUUCCUAGUAAACGCAAGUCAUCAGCUUGCAUUGAUUACGUCCCUGCCCUUUGUACACACCGCCCGUCGCACCUACCGAUUGAAUGGUCCGGUGAAAUCUCCGGACUGGCGUGAGUCGGAGCAAUCUGACAAACGCCGGAAAGUUGAUUAAACCUUACCAUUUAGAGGAAGGUGAAGUCGUAACA
rnacentral:rRNA from 1 species